rnacentral:lncRNA from 1 species
AUGAGAUCAGAUUCCGGGCGCUGCCUGAUUCUGGGCUCUGUCUUGGCCACUCACCCCUGGCCUGGUCCGGCCUGGCUCCGAUCUGCUGGCUUGCUGGGCGCUCCCGCUCCGGCUGGGCUGGGCUGGGCUGGGCUAGGCUGCAGGAUGGCACGCGCUGCUCAGCCUCCCUCCCCCUUCUUCCUCCUUCCACCCUCCCUCCUCUACCUAGCCAACCUGUUACUCCCCUCCCCGAACUCCGCCCCUUCCCCCGCCUCCAUUGGCCCACCACCGCCCCGCCCCGCCCUGUUCUUCCGAGGAUUGGCCCACGGACCCCACGAUAGGCGGGCCUGCUGUAGACCUGGAAUGAUACCGGGGUCUGAUUUGGAAGUUUGGAAACUAGAUCAAGGAGAAAUAACUUAAGAAUUAUUGUAAUUAUCUAAAGCCCUAAUCAAUAAAAGAACCUAGACAUCAUCUUUCA